rnacentral:tRNA from 1 species
UGGAAUAUGGCCAAGUGGGAAGGCAAUGGUUUUUGAUACCAAAGAUCAAAGGUUCGAAUCCUUUUAUUCCAA